CUCGCGGGUAGGGGAUGCCGCAACUGCAGCGAGACAGAGACAAAGAGAAUACCCGCGAGGGAGACUCAGAGCGACACGGACAGUGCGCGCCAGAUCCAGACCCAGGCGGAGAGAGGGACUUAGUGGGCACCUCUGAAAGAUCGGGGUGCCCAGGGGCUCCAGUCCGGCCGUCUCCCCUCCCUUCCUGCCGAGGAGGACGUGGGAACCUGGAAGGGGACGCCCAGGCCGACGUGCAGGAAGUCUGCGUCCGCGCAACGCUGCUCCGCCCGCUCCCGGUGCCCUGCCCAGUGCGCCCCUGCCCCCAGGCCUGCCCGCAGCCGCCCUCGGAACUUCCCUGGCCUUGAUCUGACCUGCCCAGGAGUUUCAGAUUAACAGCAGGGAUCCUCAAAUCUUGGACUGGAGUGGCAGAGGCCGCCCUUGGCUGCUGAUGUCCCAUCUGUCCUGUAUUCUAGCAAGGGCCAGGUGGUUGCUACUUGCUUACCCCAGGUGAUGGAGCACUCACUACUUCUCCAGAGAGCAGUCCAUCCUUUCAUGGCCCAUCUCGUGCUGUAACUGGUACAGGCAGCGGCCGAUGACGGAAACAGCUUUACUGUGCUUCAGACCCGUCCACGCCGCAGGAGCCAGGUGUGGAGUGGAUGAAGCGAGGCAGGCAGCAAUCCAUGCAUUCAUUCACUCCCAGUCAUUCAGUGAUUCUGCAAGAAGCCCGAGCUUGCUGUACAUGGUGGAGAACGCCUGUAGUCCCAGCACUUGGGAGACUGAGGCAGGAGGAUCGCUGUGAGUUCAAUGCAAGCCUAAACUUCGUAGUGAGAAGACCCUGUCUCAAAAAAAAAAAAAAAAAGUUCAAGCUGCCUAACCCCUCUAUGAGCCCAGACAAGGAACAUUGCCACUUUGGGCCUGUCUCUUCAUCUGUCAGAUGGCAGUAGCAAUACUUUGUUGGGAAGAUUAAAGAAGGUGACAGAGUGCCUGGCAUUGUGCCUGGCAGAUGGCUGUCAUUUCUCAGUAAGCAGAACUGUCAUCCCAUUAUUCAUCACCGUCCCUGCCCUCAACAGCGUCGAUAAGCUCUAGGAAAGAGCGGAACAUCCUAUUUUGAGGACCUUCACACAAAGUAGUAACCGAGCUGAAAGUUGAGAAACAAGAAUAGUGAGGAAGCGGUUUCUGGGAAACAGCAUUCCACGGAGUGGGGACCGCACAGGCAGAGGCCCAGCCUCCAGCAGCAGGAUCCUUUGGUUACUAGCUUCCUGGUAGACAAGUGGCCCAGAAAGGGAAGGUGAUUUCCCAAAGACACACAGCAAAGCUGAGGCAAAGCCAGUCAGAGCCAGGUCUCUCCUGCUGUCUGAAGCAAGCAAUGCUGGGAACCUCAUUUCAUUUUUCCCACAGCCCCAAAGAUGGGUUAGGAAAUCUGUGCCUAGGGAGGGGACAGUAGAGCCAACCCCAGCCCCACUGGAGGCCUGGAACAACUGGGGG
ensembl:lncRNA